UUCAAGUCUUGACCGGACAAACUAAUCUCCAUAAAAUAAUCUGAGUGACCCUCCUCACUUUGUGGCCAUGGCUUCACUCACGUGCCUCCGCCCAACCCACCCUCAUCUUCAUCGCGGUUCAGUGCUUCUCGCCAUUUCGAACCGCUGCUUCAACCAUUCCUCCUUGCUGAACUGGAUUCUCUCCGUAAACCCUCCUCGAACCGCUCCUCCACGCGCAAUGGCCAAGCCCUGUUCCUCACCUGCCCAAGACCUAGUCGCUUCUCCUGGCGAUUUUGAAUUUGUGCUGCCUCUGAAAAUUGUGGAGUAUCCGGAUCCGAGAUUGAGGGCCAGGAAUAAGCGCAUAGUUGCCUUCGAUGAUAGUCUGAAGAAGCUUGUCCACGAAAUGUUUGAUGUAAUGUACAAAACUGAUGGUAUUGGUCUCUCAGCACCCCAAUUAGGAAUUAAUGUUCAACUUAUGGUGUUCAAUCCAGUAGGUGAGCAUGGUGAAGGAGAGGAAAUUGUUCUUGUAAACCCAAGAGUUAGCCAAUACUCAAAGAAACUGACACUAUUUAAUGAAGGUUGCCUAUCUUUCCCUGGAAUCAAUGCUGAUGUAAAGCGACCAGAAUCUGUGAAGAUUGAUGCACGUGAUAUCAAUGGAACAAGGUUUUCAGUCAACUUGUCUGACCUUCCUGCACGAAUAUUCCAGCAUGAAUUUGACCAUCUACAAGGAAUUCUUUUCUUUGAGAGAAUGACUGAAGAAGUUCUUGAUAGUAUUUGUGGACAGUUACAGGAAGCAUAGCUACUCAAUGCCUCAACAUAUUUGAAAGAGAAACUCUAAAGUUUGCGAGUUUUCACCAAUCAGGAGCAAAAUAUGUAAUCUUAUGACUUAUCCUAAAGAUGCUGCUCAUCCAAAGAAAUCUCCUUAAUGAUGCAAGAAUUAUACUCCAGCCAGAUGCACCAAAGUAUGGCUGAAUUGCACACAUUGCAACAAAAAGUUGGCUUCAUUCCUUCAACCAAAACCAGUAGAGCAACACAACCAAAAACUGCUCCAAAUAUAAUACCUAUGGCAAACACAACACUCUCCGAAAAUGCCAAGGAAAGCAUUGUUCGAAUAAACAGUUACCUGAACAGACUAGGAUCUGAUUCUGAGCUCAAUUGUUGGAUCAAACAGAUGAUACCUGUAUUUUUGGAGGACAAAAAUUGGUGUUUACUCAAAACUUAUAUUGCUGCCCUAGAAACAAAGUAUGAGGGAAUGACUGGACUCCCAAGCCCUGAAAAGAUAGAAAACCGCAGGAGGAGAAAGGUCGCUGUUGGUUUUGGGAAACGAUGAUCUUCAAGGUCAAUAUUAGGCAUAAUACUGAAUGCACACUUACCAGACAUUUCUAGUUUGAACUUCAUAAAAUGAUGAAGCAUAGAUUACAGGUUCAAUUGUUUAUGAAUGGUCAUUGGAAGACAUCUCUAUUGUAUCAAUGCUAUUGUCAGUUGUUCAUGUUGCCCUGAAGGGAACAACUGUCUUGAAGGGCUAUUUCCUACGUAUUUAUUUAUUUAUUGCUUUCUAUUGUUUUAAUUCUAGUUCUAAACAUUUAGCUCUAGUUGUAGGCAUUUACUAUGUAUUAUUUUAGGAUUUAUUACUUGAAAACAGCUGAUAGAAUGGAGGAAAACCUUUCUUUAUAUGGCUCUCCCAAUAUCCCGAAAGCAAUAAUUGUUUGUAAUAUAAGGGGAAAUUACACUGUAAUAACUUGACAAGUCUUGAAUGAUUCUCAUUUGAAUCUUGAUCUCAUAAACUUGAAUGAAAGUUCACAAAUGUUGCACUUGA